GCUUACGGCCACACAGCCUGGUUCUCCUGAUCUCGUUUGAUCUCGGAAGCUAAGAUAGGUUGGGCCUGGUUAGUACUUGGAUGGGAGACCGCCUGGGCAUACCAGGUGCUGUAAGCU
ensembl:rRNA 5S_rRNA 5S ribosomal RNA